rnacentral:rRNA from 1 species
CCUACGGGUGGCAGCAGUGAGGACUAUUGGUCAAUGGGAGAGAUCCUGAACCAGCCAAGCCGCGUGAGGGAAGACGGCCCUAUGGGUUGUAAACCUCUUUUGUCGGAGAACAAAACCCGGGACGUGUCCCGGACUUCGUGUAUCCGAAGAACAAGCAUCGGCUAACUCCGUUCCAGCCGCCGCGGUAAUACGGAGGAUGCGAGCGUUAUCCGGAUUUAUUGGGUUUAACGGGUGCGUAGGCGGUCCGUUAGGUCAGCGGGAAAAUUGCGGGGCUCAACCCCGUCGAGCCGUUGAAACUGGCAGACUUGAGUGGGCGAGAAGUACGCGGAAUGCGAGGUGUAGCGGUGAAAUGCAUAGAGAUCGCGCAGAACACCGAUGGCGAAGGCAGCGUACCGGCGCCAGACUGACGCUGAGGCACGAAAGCGUGGGGAUCGAACAGGAUUAGAUACCCGAGUAGUC